UCUUCGCGCUGAAACACUUGUCGGUCUCUUACGAUGAUCAAGUACGUUAGCAAGGUGGCUCAUCGGGUAGUAUGCUGUAAGAAUCUUCGUAAGUAACAACAUCGUUUUUUUUUCUCCUUUGCAUUUGGAUGGACGGAGUUCGUGUAAGCAGGUAUCAUUAAGACAAAUUGAAACAGUGGAUCUCUCUCGAUAUUAAGUGUAAUAAUAUCAAUCGAUGAUUUAAAAAAAAAAAAAAAAAUUCAGAAGAAGGACUUGACAAAAUGUGGAAAAUGGAUUCCCGAGAAGGGCCUAUAGUUAGUCGCUUUCCACGACCAAAUCUACGUGGGAUGACAAGAGAUAGAAUCACGGCAGGACGUGUAAAUGAGAAUUGAUCUUACACUUUAAUAAUGAAUUUGAACAACAAAUAUAAAGUUGAUCAACUUAAUUAUUCGAGAAUGAGAUGAUACCAGAGGUGAUUUGAAUCAACCGGUCGUGGGAAUUGACGGAAGUUGCCAAAGUGUUUGAAAAAUGGCGGACAAGUUUGAAACAACCUAUCGAUGUCCUAAUGAAACUAAUAAUCGUAAAGGAGAUUGCAAGAGUGUAGCUAGCAUAACGACGACGACUACGACUACGACGACGACGACUAUGAUGGUGAGAGCGAUCUGUGAAGAGAGAAAGAGAGUAAAAGAGUUAGUUAUAGAGUGAAAGAGAGAGAGAGAGAGAAAGAGAAAGAGAGAAAGCAAAGGAUCAAGAACAGGAGGGAGAGAGUUCACUCGUGAAACGAGACGGUGUAUGGAAUAGCAAGGAAUGGAAUGGCAUGGCAUGAAACGAAGGUAGUCAGUUCGCAUUGAACUGCCGAAUCGCACGCGUCGACAAUAUUCCUAUCAUCAUCGUCCAAAAGGACGUCGCGACGUCCGCGUGUUAACCGUCCCUUUAUUACAACGGGACACCCCCGCCUAACAUUUCUUUUUUUUUUUUGCUUUUUUUAUCGAGUCAACGUCAUUGCUGAAAGGAUUACCAGUGAAGAAAACAGGAUACCUAUGUACAGGUGCGAUCGUUGAUUAUUUUUUUUCCUCUUCCACCACUUGUAGAAUCAAACGAAAGAAAAGAGAAAUUAAUUAUCAUACGUUCGAAGAUUGUACAGUAUAUAAAAGUCGAUAUAUAUUGAUUAUCUCGAUGAAAUUAACAUAAUUAAAGUAAUUAAUAAAUAUAUAUAUGCAUGUAUAUGCAUGUAUUCAAAUGGUUGUUUAAUUUGUUCAAAAUUUUCGCGCGCCUUAAUGGCGCUUAAGUUAUCACAAGAAUGGCGGAACGAGGAUUGUUCGUUCGUACGAUAAAAAUCAAAUAAU